GCCUUGAUAGCUUAACAGGUAAAAGUACGGAACUGAAAAUUCUGGGUAGGAUGUUCGAGUCAUCCUUGAGGCA
rfam:Smittium culicis strain GSMNP scaffold-9575, whole genome shotgun sequence.